rnacentral:antisense_RNA from 1 species
CAGGCUUUUCUUCUUGGAGCUGAAACAGGCGCACUGGCGAGGGUUGUGAGGAAAGGUCUGCAGCCCCCUGCUUUGGUCUGCUAUAGCCAGUGACACGAUCAAUACCAGGGUGAGCAGCAGAGGAGGCUCAGGGAAGAUUAUGAAGAUGAGGUCUUCUUUGAUAAUAUGUCAAGGAGUUACAUUCGACAUAGCCCUGUUAUUUUUACCACAGGAAUUUGCCUGAGUUCUGAUCAAUGCUAAAAACACCAUUUAACAGUGCCCUUUCCUGCCUAGGAAGCCCACAAAGAUUUCGCUUUUCACUUAUUACUCAUCAAACUGACUCUGGUUCACAGUGGAAAAGAGAAGAAAAGCUGAUAGAGAAAUGGCAGUGAAGAAGGAGAACAAAAUGUCAGAGCAAUACUUUUGAGCGACUAUAUCCU